rnacentral:rRNA from 1 species
CAGUAGCCGCGGUAAUACGUAGGUCCCGAGCGUUGUCCGGAUUUAUUGGGCGUAAAGCGAGCGCAGGCGGUUAGAUAAGUCUGAAGUUAAAGGCUGUGGCUUAACCAUAGUACGCUUUGGAAACUGUUUAACUUGAGUGCAAGAGGGGAGAGUGGAAUUCCGUGUGUAGCGGUGAAAUGCGUAGAUAUAUGGAGGAACACCGGUGGCGAAAGCGGCUCUCUGGCUUGUAACUGACGCUGAGGCUCGAAAGCGUGGGGAGCAAACAGGAUUAGAUACCCCCGUAGUCCCUGUCUCUUAUACA